UUUGACAUUUUUUCCAGAGUUUUCGUAUUGGAAAAUUGAAAUGGUGUUUUUUUCGAAUUAUCUAGAUCAUUGAUUUGGUUAGGGCAAAUAAAAACUUGCCCCGAAUAUAUGAAAUAGUAAAAACCUUUUUAAGAAUGACAAUGGAAGCCAAUAAUGUGUAAUUUAAAAUGGAGGUAAGAAGAAAUAGGUCGACGAUCACGAAGACUUACAGAGGCCAUAUAAAUUAGGAAAAAAGUAUAAUUUAAGUUUUUAACUUGACAUAAAUAUAAUGUGUGUUUUUAUUUUAUUCAAUAUUAAUUUUUUCGUCGUCUGUAAAUAACGUUUUUUACACUGCAUGAAUUUAUAAUUUAUCAAUAUUGUGCAAUAAUAAUUUGGUGGUAGAAAUAUGUGAACAAUAACAAGAAUAAAAAAUAAAUAAACAAUAAGUACUCUGUGAAAUUUAACGUGUUGUAAUAAAUUUUAUUUUUAAUUC